UACGAAGGGGGCUAGCGUUGCUCGGAAUCACUGGGCGUAAAGGGUGCGUAGGCGGGUCUUUAAGUCAGGGGUGAAACCCUGGAGCUCAACUCCAGAACUGCCUUUGAUACUGAGGAUCUUGAGUUCGGGAGAGGUGAGUGGAACUGCGAGUGUAGAGGUGAAAUUCGUAGAUAUUCGCAAGAACACCAGUGGCGAAGGCGGCUCACUGGCCCGAUACUGACGCUGAGGCACGAAAGCGUGGGGAGCAAACAGG
rnacentral:rRNA from 1 species